GGCACUGGGGAGAAACAUUCAGAUAAAAGCAGAAGGAUCAAAGGGAAAGGGAAGCCGAUGAGCAGCUCCCUGGGAAUUUGUUGGGAAAAUAAAGGAAGUCGCUUCUAAAUGGGAUUUGCCUUAAUUCACACAGAGCUGGUCAGUGCUGAAGAUAUUGUUUAAAAGUAGACAUGUAUUUAUUUCAUUUUAAGUGAGAGCUCUCCUAUAAGGAACCCACCAGUGUAAAUGACCCACUUCUUUGCAAUUUUAUAGUCUUGAAGAUGGUUUGGAGAACCCUAAGAAAUUAAAAGUAGAAGCAGCCUCUUUUGCCAUGAUCCAAAUAAGAAGGCCCAAUCGGGAAAUGUGAGUGCAAAAGUGACCACUGAAUUCAAGGGAAAAGGAAAUUGGCGCAAUUACUCUUGCAAAGAAACCUCAGGCAACCUUUCAGAGUCGGGCACCGGGGCUUCCUCUCU